AGUGAACGCUGGCGGUAGGCCUAACACAUGCAAGUCGAACGGCAGCACAGUAAGAGCUUGCUCUUACGGGUGGCGAGUGGCGGACGGGUGAGGAAUACAUCGGAAUCUACUUUUUCGUGGGGGAUAACGUAGGGAAACUUACGCUAAUACCGCAUACGACCUACGGGUGAAAGCAGGGGAGCUUCGGACCUUUCGCGAUUGAAUGAGCCGAUGUCGGAUUAGCUAGUUGGCGGGGUAAAGGCACACCAAGGCGACGAUCCGUAGCUGGUCUGAGAGGAUGAUCAGCCACACUGGAACUGAGACACGGUCCAGACUCCUACGGGAGGCAGCAGUGGGGAAUAUUGGACAAUGGGCGCAAGCCUGAUCCAGCAAUACCGCGUGGGUGAAGAAGGCCUUCGGGUUGUAAAGCCCUUUUGUUGGGAAAGAAAAGCAGCAGGUUAAUACCCCGCUGUUCUGACGGUACCCAAAGAAUAAGCACCGGCUAACUUCGUG
rnacentral:rRNA from 1 species